rnacentral:rRNA from 1 species
CCUACGGGAGGCAGCAGUGAGGAAUAUUGGUCAAUGGACGCAAGUCUGAACCAGCCAUGCCGCGUGCAGGAUGACGGCCCUAUGAGUUGUAAACUGCUUUUGUACGAGGGUAAACCCCGACACGUGUAUCGGGUUGAAAGUACUGUACGAAUAAGGAUCGGCUAACUCCGUGCCAGCAGCCGCGGUAAUACGGAGGAUCCGAGCGUUAUCCGGAUUUAUUGGGUUUAAAGGGUGCGUAGGUGGUUUGAUAAGUUAGAGGUGAAAGGUCGAGGCUCAACCCCGAAACUGCCUCUAAUACUGUUGGACUAGAGAAUAGUUGCGGUAGGCGGAAUGUAUGGUGUAGCGGUGAAAUGCUUAGAGAUCAUACAGAACACCGAUUGCGAAGGCAGCUUACCAAACUGUAUCUGACGUUGAGGCACGAAAGCGUGGGUAGCAAACAGGAUUAGAUACCCUGGUAGUC